UUUUUUUACAUUCGCUGUUUUCAUAAAUUAUGUUUUUUGUUUCUAAUAAACACAAAUUCAAUACAUAAAUAUUAUUAAAUCCAUAAACUGUCAUACAAUAUUCUAGACUGAACUCCAUUUAUUGACCCUUUAUUAUGAUCAAAAUCUAAUACUGAAUAAUUUACUCAUCAGUAGGUAUAAUUAAUUUUAAAGUACUUACUUUAAAGUUUUCGAUUCUCUAAAUUACAAAUAUAUAAGUAUGUUUUAAAGUUGAUUAUAUCUACUGUACCUUUAGGCUUUACUACUAAUACAUAUAUGUAAACAUUUAAUAACUAUUAAAUAUGUGUUAGAUUCUGGGUCAAAAAAUGUUCUGAUUUAGGUACAAUGUUUUUACUUCUCUGAAGACUUUCGAACAAAGACUUCUAAAGUUAAGUAUAUAUUGGCCUGCUAUCUUAUAUCCAUCAAUAUAUUAUAUUGAUCGGAAUUCGGGGUCAAGAUAAUACUUUGCAGAAUUGGUCAUUAUUUGAUUUGUUAUGUAAUUUUUUAUAAACUACCAAUCGUAAAUGGUUUUAGUCGAUCUCUGCAAUGAAACCAGUUUGAAAUUUGUUGAUUUUUGUAUAGUACCAUCACAAAAUGAAAUGAGUGUUUAUCGUCUACCAUAGUACCAUCUGAUUUCAAUAUCUUGUGCUGUUUUUUUUUUUAAAUAUAUUUUUAUUACUUUUAACAGUAAAUUAAAGUAGACGAAGAAUUUAUAAAUAAAUAACAAUAACAAAAUACAAAGAAAUCAGCAAUACCAGUAUAAACUAGUUUAUAUAUUAUACAUACAUAUGGAUAAUAUAUUAUUAAUAUUAUGUUAUGAUUGAUUCUGAUAUCAUAGUGAGAUUGAUGAAAAAGUUAUGGAAUAUUAUGCCAAUUUAAAGAAUGAAUACAGCUGAAUAGUAUUCAGUGAAUACUCUACACGUCGAGUGCGUUGAGUGAAAGAUGGUGAAAUAAGAUGUGGGAAAGAUCCAAUACGUAUACUUUCAUUACAUUGACAAGUACAAAGAGGUCAGAUAAGAGUCAUUUAAUGAAAGUUUAAAGGCUUGUGAUGAUAAUGAACAAUGUUUGCUUAUAUAAGCUAUUGAUUUUUCAGAUAAGAUUUUAAAUUUUGAAUCAAUGUUGAUAAAUAACAGUACUGGGUGCAAAUGUACAAUAUAUUAUUAUAAACCUAUACCUACUAUUAUGCUUAUAAAAAGGCAAAGUUCAAACCUAAUUAAUUGAGUACCUAUUUAUUCAAAGCUUUAUAGUUGAACCACGUUAUAUACAUGUUAUAUGACAUGAGGAAAAAACACCAAAUAUCACAACAAAUCGGAGAAGCACUCGGACCCGACCCCCAAUCAAUCACCAAAAUCCUACAAUUUAUUAAAGAAAUUCAGCUAUAUAACCUAAUUUAAGCCAUAGUAUAAGUCAACCAUACAAUUGUAAAAUCUUAAGUUAAUGUCAUACUAAUGGCCAUAGAAGCCGAUGUUUUUUAGAUCAA